rnacentral:rRNA from 1 species
GGAGGAAUAUUGCGCAAUGGGGGAAACCCUGACGCAGCAACGCCGCGUGGGUGAAGAAGGCCUUCGGGUCGUAAAGCCCUUUCGGACGGGACGAAAUUUUCGCGGGGACAAGCCGCGAAAACUGACGGUACCGUAAGAAGAAGCACCGGCUAACUCCGUGCCAGCAGCCGCGGUAAUACGGAGGGUGCAAGCGUUGUUCGGAAUUACUGGGCGUAAAGCGCGUGUAGGCGGCUUUGCAAGUCAGAUGUGAAAGCCCUCGGCUUAACCGGGGAAGUGCAUCUGAAACUGCUUUGCUUGAGUACGGGAGAGGGAGGCGGAAUUCCCAGUGUAGAGGUGAAAUUCGUAGAUAUUGGGAGGAACACCGGUGGCGAAAGCGGCCUCCUGGACCGAUACUGACGCUGAGACGCGAAAGCGUGGGGAGCAAACAGGAUUAGAUACCCUGGUAGUCCACGCUGUAAACGAUGGGCACUAGGUGUGGGGGGUAUCCACUCCUCCCGUGCCGAAGCUAAAGCAUUAAGUGCCCCGUCCU